UUCUGGCUCAGAACGAACGCUGGCGGCGUGCUUAACACAUGCAAGUCGAACGCGAACGGGACUUCGGUCCCUAGUAGAGUGGCGCACGGGUGAGUAACGCGUAGAUAACCUAUCUUCCUGUCUGGAAUAAUACGCCGAAAGGAGUACUAAUACCGGAUACUCUUGCUUUUCAUAAGUAUAGCAAGCAAAGGUGGCCUCUGUAUAUGCUACUGCAGGGAGAGGGGUCUGCGUACCAUUAGCUAGUAGGUGGGGUAAGGGCCUACCUAGGCUACGAUGGUUAGCGGGUCUGAGAGGAUGAUCCGCCACACUGGCACUGGAACACGGGCCAGACUCCUACGGGAGGCAGCAGUGAGGAAUAUUGCGCAAUGGGGGCAACCCUGACGCAGCGACGCCGCGUGAGUGAGGAAGGCCUUCGGGUCGUAAAGCUCUGUCAAGAGGAAAGAAGUGCAUAGCGGUUAAUACCCGUUAUGUUUGACGGUACCUCUAAAGGAAGCACCGGCUAACUCCGUGCCAGCAGCGGC
rnacentral:rRNA from 1 species